rnacentral:rRNA from 1 species
AUGAGCAUCGAGAGUGAUGGUGGAGCAGCUGAGGGCAACACCGAAGAUGGUGUGUUGCCGGGGAAUCCAUUGAUGACAAGCACUGGAUUCCUUGAUUCAGAAAAGCAUAAGUUGCCGGCAGAGAACAUACCCGUAGAUGUCCAUGGUGAUGGCAUGGGCGGGAUAGGAGGCUCAGACGCUGUCGUGGAAGCAACUCCAUGUGAUUCACACGAAGAUGAAGAUGACGAUGACAAGUGCACCUUGCCAGAACUUUUGCGGGACAAGAUGAACCCUAUCCAUGCGCUUAGUGACCAGAGUGCUACGGACACAACGAGCACGAGCUCCAUGGAAAUGGAAAGUGGUGAUCAACACUCUGAUGCGGGGACCGGUAGCAGCGGUGGCGCGGACAUCAGGAGGCGACGUGGUGCAGCUGCAGACAAGAGAGGUGGUGGUAACAAAAAGAAGAGGGAGGACAUGAGAAGAAGCAGUAGGCCGAGAUGGCAAUGA